rnacentral:rRNA from 1 species
AUUGAACGCUGGCGGAAUGCUUUACACAUGCAAGUCGAACGGCAGCACGGGUGCUUGCACCUGGUGGCGAGUGGCGAACGGGUGAGUAACAUAUCGGAACGUAUCCAAUAAUGGGGGAUAACUAAUCGAAAGGUUGGCUAAUACCGCAUACGCCCUACGGGGGAAAGCUAGGGACCUUCGGGCCUGGCGUUAAUGGAGCGGCCGAUAUCUGAUUAGCUAGUUGGUGGGGUAAUGGCCUACCAAGGCGACGAUCAGUAGCUGGUCUGAGAGGACGACCAGCCACACGGGAACUGAGACACGGUCCAGACUCCUACGGGAGGCAGAAGUGGGGAAUUUUGGACAAUGGGCGCAAGCCUGAUCCAGCCAUUCCGCGUGAGUGAAGAAGGCCUUCGGGUUGUAAAGCUCUUUCGCAAGGGAAGAAAACUUAUCCUCUAACAUAGGAUGAGGUUGACGGUACCUUGAUAAGAAGCACCGGCUAACUACGUGCCAGCCGCCGCCGUAACAC